ensembl:lncRNA
CUAUUAUUAUUAUUUUUCCCCCCUAGAAGUGGGUCCACAGCCCAAACCGUAAAUGGUGCCGACACGCCAAUUGCAUGACUAGAUCCAGGUCCCUGAGUUCUAGGCAGACGACAAAAUCCAGACACGCCGGCCACUAGGUGGCGCUAUACCAAGGAAUACGCGUUUGGGGCUAUAACUCCCGCACCGAACCUCCCACAGUCAAAAACUUGUACGCACAUAUCCACUGGAGUCUGCUGCAUCUUUUGGCAUAGGCCACGCCCAUUUGC